rnacentral:rRNA from 1 species
CAAAGAAUUAUGGGGGUAGAGCACUGAAUGAGGUAGGGGCCAAACCAGGUUACCAAACUCUAUCAAACUACGAAUACCAUAAUUAGAAUACUCAGGAGUCAGACUGCGGGAGCUAAGUUCCGUGGUCAAAAGGGAAAGAGCCCAGACCGACAAUUAAGGUCCCAAAGAUAUAGUUAAGUGGAAAACGAUGUGAAUUUGCAUAAACAACCAGGAUGUUGGCUCAGAAGCAGCCACUCAUUCAAAGAGUGCGUAACAGCUCACUGGUCGAGUGAAUUUGCGCGGAAAAUUACCGGGGCUAAACUAUACACCGAAAUUUCGGAUUUGUGAAUGUCUAAUAAUGUGUAUUAUUAAGAAAUAAAUUUUCUUUUGUCACGAAGUGACAAACAAAAUGAAAAAAUGAUAAAGAAUACACGAAAAGGAAAAUGAUGCAUAUUAUUAGACAUUUGCAAGUGGUAGAGGAGCAUUCUGUAGUAGGAAGAAGUCAAAGCGAGAGCAUUGGUGGACGAUGCAGAAGAGAGAAUGCUGGAAUAAGUAGCGAGAGCAAGGUGAGAAUCCUUGCCGUCGAAAGUCUAAGGUUUCCUGGGGAAGGUUCGUCCGCCCAGGGUAAGUCGGGACCUAAGGAGAGGCCGAAAGGCGUAUCUGAUGGACAGCAGGUGGAGAUUCCUGCACUAUAGCUAGUUUUAAAAGAUGCAAGGGACGCAGUAGAGGAAGAUAACCAAGGAAGAGGAAAAACUUGGUCCGCAAGGGAUAGUGAAAAUUAAUAGUAACGAAAUAUCAAGAAUCACACUGACGAGAAAAGCUUGUAGAUAUUAACUAGAAAUACCCGUACCGCAAACCGACACAGGUAGAUGAGGAGAGGAUCCUAAGACGAGCGGGAGAAGCAUUGUUAAGGAACUCGGCAAAAUAACCCCGUAACUUCGGGAGAAGGGGAGCCUAAGUAAAAUUAGGUCGCAGAGAAAAGGCCCAAGCAACUGUUUAACAAAAACACAGGUUUCUGCAAAAUCGAAAGAUGAAGUAUAGGAGCUGACGCCUGCCCAGUGCUGGAAGGUUAAGGGAAAGAGUUAGGUGUAAACCGAAGCUUAGAACUAAAGCCCCAGUGAACGGCGGCCGUAACUAUAACGGUCCUAAGGUAGCGAAAUUCCUUGUCAGGUAAGUUCUGACCCGCACGAAAGGCGUAAUGAUUUGGGCACUGUCUCGACAAUGUACCCGGCGAAAUUGUAGUACUAGUGAAGAUGCUAGUUACCUGCGACAAGACAGAAAGACCCCAUGGAGCUUUACUGCAGUUUGAUACUGGGUUUCGGCAAGUUAUGUACAGGAUAGGUGGGAGACUAAGAAAGAAAGGCGUCAGCUUUUCCGGAGUCACCCUUGGGAUACCACCCUUAAUUUGUUGGAAUUCUAACUAGUGGUCAUGAUCUGGCCAGAGGACAAUGUCAGACGGGCAGUUUGACUGGGGCGGUCGCCUCCAAAAGAGUAACGGAGGCGCCCAAAGGUUCCCUCAGUGCGGACAGAAAUCGCACGAAAGAGUGUAAAGGCAGAAGGGAGCUUAACUGGAAGAUAGACAUAUCGAGCAGAUACGAAAGUAGGGCUUAGUGAUCCGGUGGAAAUUGAAUGGAAAAGCCAUCGCUCAACGGACAAAAGUUACCCUGGGGAUAACAGGCUUAUCUCCCCCAAGAGUUCACAUCGACGGGGAGGUUUGGCACCUCGAUGUCGGCUCAUCGCAUCCUGGAGCGGAAGUACGUUCCAAGGGUUGGGCUGUUCGCCCAUUAAAGCGGUACGCGAGCUGGGUUCAGAACGUCGUGAGACAGUUCGGUCCUUAUCUGUCGCAGGCGGAAGAUAUUUGAGAGGAGCUGUCCUUAGUACGAGAGGACCAGGAUGGACAUACCGAUGGUGUAUCAGUUGUCACACCAGUGGCACGGCUGAGUAGCCAAGUAUGGAAGGGAUAAACGCUGAAAGCAUCUAAGUGUG